rnacentral:rRNA from 1 species
GACGAACCGUGCGAACGUUGUUCGGAAUCACUGGGCUUAAAGGGCGCGUAGGCGGGUUCGCAAGUCUGUGGUGAAAGCCUCCAGCUUAACUGGAGAAGUGCCAUGGAUACUGCGCAUCUUGAGGAGGGUAGGGGCGUCUGGAACGGUCGGUGGAGCGGUGAAAUGCGUUGAUAUCGACCGGAACUCCGGUGGCGAAGGCGGCAUCCUGGACCGGUAUUGACGCUGAGGCGCGAAAGCUAGGGGAGCAAACGGG